GGCCUAAUACAUGCAAGUCGAACGGUAACAGGUUCUAAAGCAAUUUAGAAUGCUGACGAGUGGCAAACGGGUGAGUAAUACAUAUGAACUUUCUCUAAGAAGAGGAUAGCCAGUCGAAAGAUUGGGUAAUACUCUAUAUGGCCGAAAGGUUAAAGUUUAAUACGCUUAGAGUGAGGCAUAUGCCCCAUCAGCUAGUUGGUAAGGUAAUGGCUUACCAAGGCUAAGACGGGUAGCUGGACUGAGAGGUUGAUCAGCCACACUGGGACUGCGACACGGCCCAGACAUCUACGGAUGGCAGCAGUAGGGAAUUUUCCGCAAUGGGCGAAAGCCUGACGGAGCCAUGCCGCGUGCAGGAUGACGGCCCUAUGGGUUGUAAACUGCUGUGGUAGCCUACCAAAAAAAUGAGGAGGCUAUUAGAAAGAGGUUGCUAACUCUGUGCCAGCAGCAGCGGUAAUACAGAGACCUCGAGCGUUAUCCGGUAUCACUGGGCGUAAAGCGUACCGAUCGGUUGUUUAGUGUGUCUAAAGUGAAAGACCGAAGCCUAACUUCGUGUUUGCUUUAGAAACUACUAAACUUGAAGGGCAAAGAGGUGGUUGGAACUCUGCAAGUAGGGGUGAAAUCCGUUGAUAUGCAGGGGAACACCAAAAGCGAAGGCAGACCACUAGGUGCCUCUUGACACUGCUAGGACGAAAGCGUGGGGAGAGAACGGGAUUAGAUACCCCGGUAUUCCACGCCCUAAACGAUGAGUGCUAGUUUUUGGGGAAAGUCAAUCUUCCUCGGAGACAAAGCUAACGCAUUAAGCACUCCGCCUGUAGAGUACGAGCGCAAGCUUGAAACAUAAAGGAAUUGACGGGAACCCGCACAAACGGUGGAUCAUGUGGCUUAAUUCGAUUAUAAGCGAGGAACCUCACCUAGGUUUGACAUGCAACUGCACGACUAAUGAAAGUUAGUUUCUUUCGAAGGUGUUGCACAGAUGAUGCACGGUCGUCGUCAGCUCGUGUCGUGAGAUGUUCGGUUAAGUCCGGUGACGAGCGCGACCCCAAUCCUCAGCUAUUUAAUGUCUAAGGAGACUGCCCGAGCUUAAUCGGGAGGAAGGCUGGGAUGA
rnacentral:rRNA from 1 species